rnacentral:rRNA from 1 species
UUCGGUAGCAAUACUGAUGAAGAGUGAGUGGCGAACGGGUGAGUACCACGUGAGCAACCUGCCCCGAAGACUGGGACAACACCGGGAAACCGGUGCUAAUACCGGAUAUCCCUACCGGAUCGCAUGGUCUGGUAAGGAAAUGGAUUCCGCUUCGGGAGGGGCUCGCGGCCUAUCAGCUAGUUGGUGAGGUAAUAGCUCACCAAGGCAUCGACGGGUAGCUGGUCUGAGAGGACGAUCAGCCACACUGGGACUGAGACACGGCCCAGACUCCUACGGGAGGCAGCAGUGGGGAAUCUUGCGCAAUGGGCGAAAGCCUGACGCAGCAACGCCGCGUGGAGGACGAAGGCUUUCUGAGUUGUAAACUCCUUUCAGCAGGGACGAUUGUGACGGUACCUGCAGAAGAAGCACCGGCCAACUACGUGCCAGCAGCCGCGGUGAUACGUAGGGUGCAAGCGUUGUCCGGAUUUAUUGGGCGUAAAGAGCUCGUAGGCGGUUUGAUUAGUCGGGUGUGAAACCUCCAGGCUUAACCUGGAGCCGCCACUCGAUACUGUCAUGACUAGAAUUCGGUAGGGGACCACGGAAUUCCUGGUGUAGCGGUGAAAUGCGCAGAUAUCAGGAGGAACACCAGCAGCGAAGGCGGUGGUCUGGGCCGACAUUGACGCUGAGGAGCGAAAGCGUGGGGAGCGAACAGGAUUAGAUACCCUGGUAGUCCACGCCGUAAACGUUGGGCACUAGGUGUGGGGACUAUUCAACGGUUUCCGUGCCGCAGCUAACGCAUUAAGUGCCCCGCCUGGGGAGUACGGCCGCAAGGCU